rnacentral:rRNA from 1 species
UACGGAGGGGGGCUAGCGUUAUUCGGAAUUACUGGGCGUAAAGCGCACGUAGGCGGCUUUGCAAGUUAGAGGUGAAAGCCUGGAGCUCAACUCCAGAACUGCCUUUAAAACUGCAUCGCUUGAAUCCAGGAGAGGUGAGUGGAAUUCCGAGUGUAGAGGUGAAAUUCGUAGAUAUUCGGAAGAACACCAGUGGCGAAGGCGGCUCACUGGACUGGUAUUGACGCUGAGGUGCGAAAGCGUGGGGAGCAAACAGG